UACAGAACGAACGCUGGCGGCAUGGAUUAGGCAUGCAAGUCGAACGGGAGCAGCAAUGCUCCAGUGGCGCAAGGGUGAGGAACACGUGAACAACCUGCCUUCGAGUUGGGGAUAGCUUCUGGAAACGGGAGAUAAUACCGAAUAACAUCAACGGGUCGCAUGAUCUGUUGAUCAAAGCAGCAAUGCGCUUGAAGAGGGGUUCGCGUCCCAUUAGCUAGUUGGUGAGGUAACGGCCCACCAAGGCGAUGAUGGGUAGCUGGUCUGAGAGGACGAUCAGCCACAUUGGGACUGAGAUACUGCCCAGACUCCUACGGGAGGCUGCAGUCGAGAAUUUUGGGCAAUGGACGAAAGUCUGACCCAGCCAAUGCCGCGUGCGGGAUGAAGGUCUUCGGAUUGUAAACCGCUGUCAAGAGGGACGAAAUAUGACGGUACCUCUGGAGGAAGCCACGGCUAACUACGUGCCAGCAGCGGC
rnacentral:rRNA from 1 species